rnacentral:lncRNA from 1 species
AAUAAUCAUCCACAGACAUAGAACCUUGCUUCAGAGUUUGAAGGCAUUUUUACAGAUCUCUUUGAAAGUGUGAUGGGACAAAAACGUUUUCUCAUAACCCUGUUCAUCUUGUCCCAUGUCGCAACGGGUAGUUCUCCAUUGUCUAUUCAAUUUCUUCCACCAACUGCAUAGUAGGAAAAUUCAACCACAACAAGUUUAACCUUCUUACCUUCAGAGUAGUUAUGACAAUCAAAGAUGGCCUCCACUUUCCUCUCUCAAUCAAGGUACAAGUCUGGAUCUCUUGUCCCCUUGAAAGUAGGAAUCUUCAUCUUAAUGCUACUAAGAUUGUCAUCCUCAACCCUAACUCGUGGCGCC